rnacentral:rRNA from 1 species
GAUCGAACGGCGUGGCGGCGUGCUUAACACAUGCAAGUCGGAACGGAGUGCCUUUGAAGAGGAUUCGUCCAAUUGAUAAGGUUACUUAGUGGCGGACGGGUGAGUAACGCGUGAGGAACCUGCCUUGGAGUGGGGAAUAACACAGUGAAAAUUGUGCUAAUACCGCAUAAUGCAGUUGGGCCGCAUGGCUCUGACUGCCAAAGAUUUAUCGCUCUGAGAUGGCCUCGCGUCUGAUUAGCUAGUUGGUGGGGUAACGGCCCACCAAGGCGACGAUCAGUAGCCGGACUGAGAGGUUGGCCGGCCACAUUGGGACUGAGACACGGCCCAG